AUUUUUUUUUUUUUUUUUUCAUCUUGUAUAUCUGAAUCCAAUUCCUAACUUUCUUCUGUGGAUUUCCACUUUUCUGUUGUUCCAAGAAGUUCACAAAAAAAAAAAAAAAAACUCCUCCCUAAUAGCUAUUGCAACAGCAGCUAAAAUUCAAAAUAUUUUCACCAGGCCUCAGUCUCUUUGACUGUGAUGGUACCUCUUUGUUAAGCCAUGGUGCCUUUGAUAUGAAACCUUUAUAUGGGUUCUUAGCCUGUUGCUAUUGUUUGUUAGAGAUUAAAAAAAUGGUAAAUAAUCUGAAAUUUGACACUUUUUGUUGAUUGGUGCUUUUGAUGCAGUGGCAGAUGGGUUGAUGUUGAG
rnacentral:misc_RNA from 1 species